rnacentral:rRNA from 1 species
AUUGAACGCUGGCGGCAGGCCUAACACAUGCAAGUCGAGCGAGUGGCGGACGGGUGAGUCAUGUAUGGGAAACUGCCUGAUGGAGGGGGAUAACUACUGGAAACGGUGGCUAAUACCGCAUACCAUCAGAUGAACCCAGGUGGGAUUAGCGAGUUGGUGGGGUAACGGCUCACCAAGGCGAAGAUCCCUAGCUGGUCUGAGAGGAGGACCAGCCACACUGGGACUGAGACACGGCCCAGACUCCUACGGGAGGCAGCAGUGGGGAAUAUUGCACAAUGGGCGCAAGCCUGAUGCAGCCAUGCCGCGUGUAUGAAGAAGGCCUUCGGGUUGUAAAGUACUUUCAGCGGGGAGGCGUUACCCGCAGAAGAAGCACCGGCUAACUCCGUGCCAGCCGCCGCGGUAAUAC